GGCCCGGGCCCCGCCUGGUGGGUUUCCCCGCCCCCCGGGACCCGGAGGACGCCUGCCUCUGACCCAACACACCAAAUUUGCUGCCACAGGGCACAACUUGUGGGCUAAUCUCAGGUUGGAAAACUUCACCCUCUGGAAUGUUCUCCCAUGUCCUUCCUAGACUCCGAACCAAUGAGAGACUGGUGGCACCGUGACUCUGCCGAGUAUACAUAUUCCAGUGUUGUGGAGACUUUUCCCGACGUCCGAAAUCCAGCUAUUUAUUGCCAGCAUUUCAAGCCAUAUCUAAGGUCUAUUGUUGCAGAUGUACCCUUUGCAGAAGCAAAUUGGUUUACAGCCUAAAGACAGACCUUCAAGUCAAGUCCUUCAGCAUUCCACGUGAAAAUUUCUUGAAUAUUUGGGGACAUGAAAAACUAUCGUAUUGAAUUACCAUAAAAUUUACCUCAGAGAUGGAACUAUCUUACCUGUGAGUGCUUUGAGACCUCUUUGGGAAGCCUAAGUAGCUACGGUCUAAUUUUAGAAACAGCUGAUGCAAUGUGUCUAAAUGUGAAAUUAGCAUGUUUUUCUAUGGCCUGUUUGCUGAUUUGUAAAUUUUUAAGACUUAGUAGUUUUAUUUUCUAUUUUCCCAUGGUUUUACACUUGGUACAGGAUCAUGGCCCAUUUCAACUGGUUUUCAAAUAAAAUUUAUUUGGAAUGAC